CCUGCCCUGCUGUUUUCACCCACCGAUUUGUCUCCACAUUCAAGUCAGGGAGAGCUAAGGAAGAGGGUAUUUGUUGUGCACUGGGUAGAACUGGCAGCGCUGGGGCAAAGGCACUCAUCAGAGGGCUAUUCUCCUGAAGAUGCACAGGUAUACAUAGGCAUACAUGUGAAAGCUGCCUUAAUGUGGACCCAGUUUGUUUCUCAAGUCUAGAUCCAUACAGAGCUGGGCAAGAAGAGUGUAUAUCAUGUGUUACAGCCAAUUCUGAUCCUCCAAAGCGGGAUGUAUCGAUCUUCCACCAUCUGUCUCAUUCUUUCCUUCUUUCUCUCGCUUACACAAAAAGAAUGGGCAAACUGAAUUUGGUUUACAGAAACCAAGAGGUUCCAAGUUUGUGUUAAUAACUUACCACUUAGAUAGCAAGUGACCAUAACCUAAUCCUCACAACGUGUCUGAGAGGCACAGCAGGAUCCCAUACUAGCACCAGCAAGUAUCUCCAACCUAGCUAGCAGAUCAAAAAGCUCGUUCUUUUUUGUAAGGCUUUGACUGAGCAAACUAAAAGCUUAGUUUUAAAAUGGUGAAAUGCCUUCAGCAGAAUGAAUAAUGUAUUUAAAGUUAAAUGCAUACUUACUGUUUUGGUGAAUAGGUCCAAAUUUAAAAAGCUCUCUAAAUGCCUAUGCUUAUGUAUAUGAUGGAAAUUAUGACUUUUUAUGAACACAAUUAUGAUUAAAUAAUUAAAAUCGUCUUUCUACCAAAGAUGCUUGACUCUAUCUUUACUUUGCCUAGUCAUUUUUUUUUCCAGUUGUGUCUCUUUUUUAACCUAGCAAAAGGGAACAGAAAAUCUUCUUCAAAAACGAAAACAUUGCUAAACUGUGUAUACUAGCAGGUGAGUUGGGGAAAACUAUAAAGGUCCUGAGAUUUUCUUGUAUUCAGUUUGAUUAGAUUUGCUGUGGCAAUAAUUUUUAAGAAGGUAGACACAAUAAUCUCUCAGUAUAAUGCACUGAAUUCAUCAAUGAUAAUUUACAUAUUAAUGUAGUUUAUCACAUAUCUAUAAUAUGUGCAGUUUACAUCUUAUGCAUGCUUUAUGUAGACAUGACUGAUAAAACUAAUUAGAACUAAAGUAUGUGAUUUAGUGUAUUUUAAAGAUGGUUGUGAAAUUAGAAAAUUGCUGUCAAUGAUCUAAUUCCAGCAUUCAAACUCAAAAUUCCCAAACCUACCUACAUAAAGAAAGAUUGCCAGAUAAGACUCUUGUCCCUUAUCCCUGAGGUAUCAAAGCAUAUCUCAAACUGUUUCAGAUUCUACCAGCUGCCUAUGCAAACUAAAUUUAAAUGAAGAACAAAUAGAGGCUUGGUUGUUUGCAUAUAUGCCUUUCAAUCCAUAGCCAACUCUUUAAAAACAUGACAUCAUCCACACUGUUGCAAACACAAAUCUCUAUUCCAUUUUACAAGGACAAGUCUUUGAUAAGAUGACUGAAGUUGAAGAACUAGUUAACAUUACCAAGAAACUGAAAUAUCAGACACUUAGGGGGAAAUAGCGAGGAGGAA